rnacentral:rRNA from 1 species
CGGCGGACGGGUGAGUAACGCGUAGGAAUCUACCCAGUAGUGGGGGACAACAUGGUGAAAACCAUGCUAAUACCGCAUACGCCCUAAGGGGGAAAGCGGGGGACCUUCGGGCCUCGCGCUAUUGGAUGAGCCUGCGUCGGAUUAGCUUGUUGGUGAGGUAAAAGCUCACCAAGGCGACGAUCCGUAGCUGGUCUGAGAGGAUGAUCAGCCACACUGGAACUGAGACACGGUCCAG